UAUGGGGGGGCGUGGUAUGGCUGCUAUGUAGGGGGUGUGGCCUGUUGUGGGCGUGGCCAUCGCUAACCCCGCCCCUUUCAGGUCCUUCACUUCCCCGAGGCAGAACCCGGAUCCACCCCCCCCCGGCCGUGCCUUCAGCUGCGCUUUGGCCCCACCCCCCCGGACCAGGGCCACGCCCCCGGGGCGGAGCUGAGCCUGGAGCUGCGGGCGCUGAGCUCCGAGUUGGACCUGGGGCUGCUGGAGCGCCUCGGCCCCGCCCUCACCCGGCUGCGAGGCCACGCCCACCGCCACGCCACGCCCACCAAUCAGGCCCCGCCCCUGCACUUCCGGUGGGCGGUUCCGGGGGCGGAGCUUUGCCUUUGGUUACCCCAGUUGGAUUUGCGGCCCCCCCCCGCCCGAAGGCCGUGGUACCGACCUGCAAUGAGGGCCGAGAGGCUGAGGAUGCACAUGGGGGGGGUCCGGGGGGCUGCUGGCCCAGGGGGGGGGCGGCUGCAGUGUGAGACCCUGAGCGGUG